AGGUGAUUCAGAUUUUGCAAAUUUAUAAAGAUCUAAAGCUACCACACCACCUCAGGAAAAACAUCGAUCACUCAACUAAUUUGAUUGAUUGAGGACAUAUUCAAUUAGAGAAGAAGGUGAAGAGAUUUUGCAUUAAAGAUCUGAAGUUACAAGGUCAGG